AUUGAACGCUGGCGGCAGGCCUAACACAUGCAAGUCGAGCGAGCGGCGGACGGGUGAGUAAUGUAUGGGGACUGCCCGAUAGAGGGGGAUAACUACUGGAAACGGUAGCUAAUACCGCAUACUAUCGGAUAACCCAUAUUGGAUUAGCUAGUUGGUGAGGUAAUGGCUCACCAAGGCGACGAUCCCUAGCUGGUCUGAGAGGAUGAUCAGCCAAUCUGGGACUGGGACACGGCCCAGACUCCUACGGGGGCAGCAUGGGGUAAUAUUGCACAAGGGGGGCAAUCCUGAUGCAGCCAUGCCGCGUGUAUGAAGAAGGCCCUAGGGUUUUAAAGUACUUUCAGUCGGGAGGCGUGACCGACAGAAGAAGCACCGGCUAACUCCGUGCCAGCAGCCGCGGUAAUA
rnacentral:rRNA from 1 species